rnacentral:rRNA from 1 species
AGGGCUUAUGAGGGAUACCUAGGCAUUCAGAAGCGAUGAAGGACGUGGCUACCUACGAUAAGCUUCGGGUAGCUGGAAGCAAGCUGUGAUCCGAAGAACUCCGAAUGAGGAAACUCUUAAAACUCCUUGUUGAAUAUAUAGACAAGAAAGAGCAAACCUGGGGAAUUGAAACAUCUUAGUACCCGGAGGAAAAGAAAGUAAACUACGAUUACCUUAGUAGCGGCGAGCGAAAUGGUAAGGACGCCUAAACUAAUUUUAUUAGGGUUGUUGGGACAGCGAAUAAAAAAAACGUUAGGAGAAGUAUUUGGAAUAAUACACCAUAGAAAGUGAAAGUCUUGUACCUUAAAACAAUAUAAACUUACUGUAUCCCGAGUAGCAUGGAGCACGUGUAAUUCCGUGUGAAUCAGCGAGGACCACCUCGCAAGGCUGAAUAUUCCUGAAUGACCGAUAGUGAACCAGUACCGUGAGGGAAAGGUGAAAAGAACCCCGGGAGGGGAGUGAAAUAGAACAUGAAAUCGUAAGUUUACAAGCAGUGGAAGAGCGACUUAACGCUCGACUUCGUGCCUGUUGAAGAAUGAGCUGGCGACUUGUAGGUUAUGGCAAGGUUAAGAUAAGAGAAUAUCGGAGCCAUAGUGAAAGCGAGCCUGAUAAGGGCUUUAAGUCAUAAUUUACAGACCCGAACCCGGAUGAUCUAACCAUGGCCAGUGUGAAGCUUAGGUAACACUAAGUGGAGGUACCAACCGACUGUUGUUGAAAAAACAGCGGAUGAGUUGUGGUUAGGGGUGAAAUUCCAAUCGAAUCCGGAGCUAGCUGGAUCUCCCCGAAAUGCGUUGAGGCGCAGCGGUUAAUGUUUCUUCUUAGGGGUAAAGCUACUGUUUUGGUGCGGGCUGCGAGAGCGGUACCAAAUCAAGGCAAACUCUGAAUACUAAGACGGUUAAUUAACCAGUGAGACAUUGGGGGAUAAGCUUCAAUGUCAAGAGGGAAACAGCCCAGAUUACUAGCUAAGGCCCCUAAAUAAUUACUAAGUGGCAAAGGAGGUGGGAUUGCAGAGACAAUCAGGAGGUUUGCCCAGAAGCAGCAAUCCUUUAAAGAGUGCGUAAUAGCUCACUGUUCGAGUGAUCCUGCGCCGAAAAUGAAUGGGGCUAAGCAAUUUGCCGAAACUGUAAGAUGUUAAAACAUCGGUAGGGGAGCGUUCUACAUUAGUUUGAAGCGUUAGCGGAAGCGGGCGUGGACGAAGUAGAAGUGAGAAUGUCAGCUUGAGUAGCGAAAACAUUGGUGAGAAUCCAAUGCCCCGAAAACCUAAGGGUUCCUCCGGAAGGCUCGUCCGCGGAGGGUGAGUCAGGUCCUAAGGUAAGGCUGAAAAGCGUAGUCGAUGGAUAACAGGUUAAUAUUCCUGUACUGUUUAUUGUUGGUAAAGGGGGACGGAGAAGGCUAGGUCGACCGAAUGUUGGUUAUCGGCUUAAAUAUUCGAGGUUAUGAGGACUGGUGAAAACAGUCUGAGCUGAGAUAUGAAUAGGAAAGUGUCAAGACACUGAACCGGCUGAUGUCAUACUUCCAAGAAAAGCCCUAACUACCAUAAGCAAUAAAUACCUGUACCCUAAACCGACACAGGUGGGUAAGUAGAGAAUACUAAGGGGCGCGAGAUAACUCUCUCUAAGGAACUCGGCAAAAUGGCCUCGUAACUUCGGGAGAAGAGGUACCCUUAAUUGGGUUGCAAGAACCAGACGCUGGCGACUGUUUACCAAAAACACAGGUCUCCGCAAAGUCGUAAGACGAUAUAUGGGGGCUGACACCUGCCCAGUGCCGGAAGGUUAAGGAAGCUUGUUAGUCUUUGACGAAGCUCGCGACUGAAGCCCCGGUGAACGGCGGCCGUAACUAUAACGGUCCUAAGGUAGCGAAAUUCCUUGUCGGGUAAGUUCCGACCCGCACGAAAGGUGUAACGAUCUGCGUACUGUCUCGGAGAGAGACUCGGCGAAAUAGACUUGUCUGUGAAGAUGCGGACUACCUGCACCUGGACAAAAAGACCCUAUGAAGCUUUACUGUAGCUUGAAAUUGGCUCCGGGCUUUAUUUGCGCAGGAUAGGUGGGAGGCGUUGAAGAUCUUCUUGCGGGGAGAUUGGAGCCAUUGGUGAGAUACCACUCUAAUAAAGCUAGGAUUCUAACCCUAUACCGUUAUCCGGUUAGGGAACAGUCUCAGGUGGUCAGUUUGACUG